AUUGAACGCUGGCGGCAUGCCUUACACAUGCAAGUCGAACGGCAGCACGGGAGCAAUCCUGGUGGCGAGUGGCGAACGGGUGAGUAAUAUAUCGGAACGUGCCCGGUCGUGGGGAUAACGUAGCGAAAGCUACGCUAAUACCGCAUACGAUCUACGGAUGAAAGCGGGGGAGUCGCAAGACCUCGCGCGAUUGGAGCGGCCGAUAUCAGAUUAGGUAGUUGGUGAGGUAAAGGCUCACCAAGCCGACGAUCUGUAGCUGGUCUGAGAGGACCGACCAGCACACUGGGACUGAGACACGGCCCAGACUCCUACGGGAGGCAGCAGUGGGGAAUUUUGGACCAAUGGGCGCGAAGACCUCGAU
rnacentral:rRNA from 1 species